rnacentral:rRNA from 1 species
CCCUCUGGGGGCCCGAGUUGUAAUUUGAAGAGGAUGCUUUUGGCGAGGCGCCUUCCGAGUGCCCUGGAACGGGACGCCACAGAGGGUGAGAGCCCCGUAUGGUAGGACGCCGAGCCUCUGUAAAGCUCCUUCGACGAGUCGAGUAGUUUGGGAAUGCUGCUCAAAAUGGGAGGUAAACCCCUUCUAAAGCUAAAUAUUGGCCAGAGACCGAUAGCGCACAAGUAGAGUGAUCGAAAGAUGAAAAGCACUUUGAAAAGAGAGUUAAACAGCCCGUGAAAUUGUUGAAAGGGAAGCGCUUGCGACCAGACUUGCGCCCGUCGGAUCAACCGUCCCUCGUGGGCGGCGCACUCCGGCGGGCUCAGGCCAGCAUCAGUUUUCCUGGGGGUAGAAAGGCGGUGGGAAUGUAUCUCUUCGGAGUGUUAUAGCCCGCCGCGUAAUGCCCUCGGGGGGACUGAGGACCGCGCGUAUGCAAGGAUGCUGGCGUAAUGGUCGUCA